CUUGUUAAUAAAUCUGGAAAUAUUUCUUCAGAAACGUUGUCUGGAUCAAUAGGAUCAGGUUUCUUCUCAGACGUUUUGAAAUAAACAGACGUGCAGAAAAACAAAAAUUAAAACAGCAAGUUAAAUUUUAACGAGCGUUACUGCGUUAGCGCUAAUCAAGGUUUAAAUUAACAACUGGCCCCUACACUAGGGCGUGUCGAGUCUUCAAAAAGAGCAACAAAUGAGCGACAUCUAGGAGGCUCUGGGGCAGGAUUUGCGAAUGCAACUUGCGAGAGAGAAUAUUUGACCAAACUUUGAAUUUUGAGAGAAUUUAUUACAAGCUUGAAUGCAAUAUGCACUAUAAUGAGAACAUGGCACUAUCGGCCCA